rnacentral:lncRNA from 1 species
AUAGCAGCAAAAGAUGUCUUACUUUGCAAAAAUAUUCGAAAACCUCAGCACUACCAAAAAACACGUAAAUGUCAAUCAAUAUUAAUAUGUAGCACCAUUAUGGUAGUAACAAAUUUAAACCUAAAAUGGUUGAGUAAUAACCCAUACUUUCCUUUUGAUACGUUGGGUGGUCUGUGGUUUGUUAUUUUUGUUAAGGGAAAUUACCAUUAUGAUGUGAAACUCAUCUUUGCUGUUGUAUUUUGUUUCCUUAUUUCACCACUAAAGGUGACAUCACUCAUUAUUUUAUAUCUAAUGCAUGUGGGAGAAUUUCUGGAUGGGCUUUUGGAUGGGGAAAAUGCAUCCUAUACACCCAUAAAAAGAGUUUUGAUGGAAGAGCCAGGAUAUAAGAUGAUUCCCUGACUUCCAUUCAAGUUUUCUUUCUACUUGUUCAACAUGGCUAGUAAACCCCACACAUGUCACUCAGAUCUCCUGGUGGCUCACAGACCUAAAGAAGUUCCUUUCCUGCUUUUGCAAGUCCUGCCAAAAAAAUCUGCUUGUAAAGACUUGAAAUACAACAGUGCCUUUUCUGACAGCCUUGUUUACCCAUAACUCUCAACUAUUGGUUCUGGGCCUCAAGAUGCACAAUACAAUUUCCAGCAAAGGUCAGUGAUAAAACUCUAAAACAUUCUAGAAUAGUGCAUUAUGAGCAUGUGAAAACUUAGAACUUGGUAUGGCUUUCUGCAUUGUAAUUCCUUUGCUGUAACCUGAAAGGUUAGGUGAGUUUGGUAGAAAAUUUAGAAAAAAAUCUCAUCUUCCAAUCCCCACUGCAAACAUGCUCAUUGUUUUCUGUAGUUAGGAUGUUACCACGAGGGAGUAUUUUCUCUGCCUUGGAUAAUUUUCAAAAAACUACUACAUUAGCACCUUUGAAAUAUGAUGACCACAAAUUUAAAUUCAGUGGACUCCUAAAACAUUCAGUCUGUGGUCUAAAGUUUGCCAAAGGUUGUGUUGCCCCAUGUGGCACAUUGAAUCUGUAUGGGUUGAGCCUGGGUCUGGGUUUCUGCUGUCCUCCUAUCUCUUGUCCUGUCUUCUUCUUGUUUCCUUUAAAAUUUUGUUUAAUGCUUGACUACAGAGUUCUAUUGGAGAAUGAAAGAACACUUUUUUUUUUUUUAAUUUCCUUUUUUAGGGCCACACCUCUCCGAUUCAACCCCUAGCCUGGGAAACUCCAUAUGCCUCGAGAGCAGCCCAAAGAAAUAGCAAAAAGACCAAAAAAAAAAAAAAAAAAAAAAAAAAAAAAAAUCUAUAAAAAAAAAGAAAAGAAAAGAAAUACAUUGAAUUUAGAAAUACGUAUCAUGUUGUGGGAGUACAAAUCAUUAUGUCUUCAUUUAUUAGUAUGGUAAACAAGUUUCCUUAUGUUUUUCUGCAUGUUGCCUACAUUUUUAUCUUCAUCAUUCUUUUCUUUUUUUACCCGCACCUACAGCAUGUGAAAGUACCUGGGCCAAUGAUCAAACCUGAGCCACAGCAGCAACCCCAGGCCACUGCAGUGACAACAUCAGAUCUUUAACCCACUGCACCACCAGGGAACUCUUCUUCUUCAUCUUUUUUUGUUUUUGCCUUUCAUUUCCUGUCUUUGAUGUUAGCUUCCCAGGGGCACCAAGGUGCUUGGAAUCAGUGCCAGAGCCAUGACACCUGGGAUCCCUGUGCCGGCAGAUUGAGUUCUGAUCCUAAGGUCAAAUCUUUAUGAUGAGAAAUUUCCAAAAUUAAAAAAAAAAAAAUCACACAACAUGUACACACACACACACACACCACAAGCCUUUUUAAAAAAUACUCAGCGUUUGUUGUGCUUUGUUUGUUGUGCUUUGUUUGUUGAAGGAUCAUAGUGACCCCUUGGGUGAAAUCAUUUCACAGUUGCCAUGUUGGUUUUUAAAACUGGCAAACAGAGAAAGUUUUACAGGUCAAAACUGGAAAUACUCUCUUGAGCUUUAAGAUAAAGUGCUUAUGUUUGUAUCACCACGUGCAUGAAUAUGUAAGAAUCAGAUGUAAUUUCUGCUUCAUCAGUUUUACAUGUUUGUGUUGUCACUGAAAAGUGCACCUGUUGUUUAUAACUCCCAAGGAGAACCUGAACGCAUUUUUAUGAUGGAAAACUUUUAUUUUUUAGUGAUUCUUUUCUUUGGGAAGAAGUGAGCAAAAGAAAGAACACUAAAGAAAAAGAAUUAUUACAGCAAAUUAAAAAGAACAUGGUAUUAUGACUUAAUUACUAUCUUGUCUUUUUAAAUGCCAUCUCCUCUUUUACUUUUUUUAAUUAAAAGUUUUUUUUUU